UACUGAAAGUCCCGCUCUCUUUCUUCUCUCUCUCUCUCUCUCUCUCUCUAACAUAACCUGUCACCACACUCCACCAUAGUUAACACAUCACCGCCACCAUAAGCAACCGUUCACCGUCACCACCCCCAAAUCACCAACCACCACUGCACGGACACACCACCGCCAUAGCCCCACCGUCACCACCCCCAAAUCACCAACCACCAACACACCACCGCCAUAGCCCCACCUACACAGCACUGCCAUAGCCCACCGUCACCACCCCUAAAUCACCAACCACCACUAUGAUCGGAGACGGCGACACAGGUCUGUGAUCGGAGACGGCGAAACAGGACUAGGAUAGGAGAUGACAAAACAGAUCUGAGAUCGGAGACGACGGAUGGUACGGCGGUGGCGUAGUUGUCGCAGGUCUGAGAUCGGAAAUGUUUGUAGAUGAUCAAGAGUGUGGAUUUUCUGGGUUGGUCCAUUCAUUGGAGCUGCACUUACUGCUAUUUACCAUCAAAUAGUCAUUAGGGCCAUCCCUUUCAAGAGCAGAUCUUAAACUCAAAUGUUGAAAGAGUUAUGUGAAUUGUGUGUGUAAAUUAUUGUCCUAAAAUGGAUGCUAUUUGUAUUUAAGCUUUUCAUGUUGGUUUAUCAACUCUUUUUUAUGGAAUGAAGAACUCUUGAUUGAGAACUGGUUCU
rnacentral:lncRNA from 1 species